rnacentral:rRNA from 1 species
AUGAACGCUAGCGGCAGGCUUAAUACAUGCAAGUCGAGGGGCAGCACGAAUAGCAAUAUUUGGUGGCGACCGGCGCACGGGUGCGUAACACGUAUACAACCUACCUAUAACAGGGGGAUAGCCUUUCGAAAGAGAGAUUAAUACCCCGUAAUAAAUUUUGUGGCAUCACAGGAUUUUGAAAGCUCCGGCGGUUAUAGAUGGGUAUGCGUCUGAUUAGCUAGUUGGUGAGGUAAUGGCUCACCAAGGCGACGAUCAGUAGGGGAUCUGAGAGGACUAACCCCCACACUGGUACUGAGACACGGACCAGACUCCUACGGGAGGCAGCAGUAAGGAAUAUUGGUCAAUGGAGGCAACUCUGAACCAGCCAUGCCGCGUGCAGGAUGACGGCCCUAUGGGUUGUAAACUGCUUUUGUACCAGAGAAAACCACCUUACGUGUAGGGUGUUGAUAGUAUGGUAAGAAUAAGCAUCGGCUAACUUCGU